rnacentral:lncRNA from 1 species
GUGGUACUCCAUCUUGUAAAUAUUGAAAGAUCAGAUCUAUCCAACUUGACUCAGGUUCUGUCUGCAUCACAGGAGAUUCUUCAAUGCUCGACUUCUCAAGGGUUUCUAGAUACGAGCUUCUUUUUAGAUCGGCCAUAUCGAGCAUCGCUAACUUUGAUAAAAGGUCAGUCUGCAUAUUUUUCUUCUACCCAUUUGAUAU